GGGCGGGACAAGCAAGAUGAGGAAGUGCAGGGCCAUGGACAUGGCCACUGCCGCCAGCAGCCAGGGGUUCAGCCAGGGUGGCAUCCGCAGCAACGACUGGUUCUCCGAGACGCUGCCAAGGGCACAGGGUGCUCAUCUCAGGAGAAACCCACAGCUGGCUCUGCAAACACCCCAAAGGCUCUUUCAAAGCUGCGUCAGCUGCUCAGACAGGACAGACCAACAGAUCGCAACUUGGGUCUCCUUGCUUGCUUCCAGAGCUGUGCUGAGCUGAGCCAGCCCCAUGGUGGACCCCUGCCAGCCAGGUAACUUCAAGAGGUCAGUGGGUCCUUCCCCGAGAAACGCGUUGGUUAUGGUGGGGGGCAGGGAGUAGGGGGCCUGGCACAUUCCUUCCCUCUACUCUUCAUCUCCUCAGUUUGACCUGCUGCCUGAAGUUCUACAUUUAGGGGCUCAUGUCUCUGAGCUCAGACCUCAAUGUUUCGGGGGUUCCCCAGUAAAGGUAAGACACUUCUGGGCAGUUCUGCCCCUUGGUCUCCCCCAACCAGAUGACUGGGAGAGGGAGUGACCACUUCUCUGGCUCUGGGCUGUGCUAUCGCGAUGUUUCCAGUGGCCCCUUAGGUGGUGGGUGUCUGUAUAAGGCUGGAAAGGGACAGCCAUUGGCCAACCAUAGGGUUCCAGACCCCUUUCCCUGGAACACCAAUAACUUGGGCUUGCGAGUUCUACCUCAGAAACAACCCAAUAGGCUCCCUGGCCAUCCUUGCUCACCAGCUGGUAGAAGGUGAUGUGAGGUCCCUCGGCAUCGUACAGGAACCACCAGGUGGCGGCAGCCACUGUGGCCAGGCCUACAUACACUGCAGGGAGGGCAGGAGGAAACCGGCUGUAGUGGACAGCUGUGCUUUUCUGGCAUCCAUUUCCCCUUCCUAAUAAGUCCCUGAAUUUCUGUCUGAAAACCACCCUCUCCCUCUCUAAGCUGGGUGGUUUCCAUACCUACCCUCAGGGCCAGCGGUGGGCCUGACUGGCAAUCAGCAUCUGCCAUACCCUUGGCUAUGGUGAUUGGCCAGAACAUAAGCAGGUAACCCAAUCUGAGCCAAGAAUAACCCUAAGACUUCUAUCAUAUUCCUGAGGGAGUAGUAGGAUGAAAAGCUCUCCCUUCUGCUGAAUGUGGAGUUAUAAUGGAGUGAGCACGAGGGCUGGCACUGCAGCAGCCACUCUGCUACCCCGAAGGUCAUCUGCCUGAGAAUGCAGUUGAGGCAAGACAAUGAUACUGUCUGAGGUCUGGAUCCAGCCAUGUAUGAGGCAUGCUCUAAUUUUUUCAGUUAGAGGAGCCCACACCAUUUCUUUUAACACAAGCCAGGCUGAGUCAUACUAUCUGCAGUUUGUAAGACUAACUAAUAGGAGAGUCUUAGGAAGUUACUAGAACCCCACUGAGGGCUGAGGCGCUUACCUCCAAUAGCCAGAUAUCGGAAGAGGAGCCAGCCACUGAUGAGGGCCUCAUGAGGGUUCCGGGGUGGCUUCUCCAUGAUGUCUAGGUCAGGCGGGUUGAAGCCCAGGGCUGUGGCAGGUAGACCAUCUGUCACCAGGUUCACCCAGAGCAGCUGCACAGGGAUCAGGGCUUCGGGUAGGCCCAGAAUUGCCGUGAGGAAGAUAC